CACAAUCACAGCUAGUUUCAGGGGGGGGGGGGGGGGAAAGGGUGAAGAACUCAUCGAAUCCGUACGGGCGUCGCGGUAUGUAGACGACGGCGGCGGCGGCGGCUAGGUCCUCUUCGACGGGGAGGAUCACGGCGGCGGCGGCGGCGGUGGUGGUGGUGGAGGAGGAGGGGGUUAGUC
rnacentral:rRNA from 1 species